CACAAACUCCAGCUGUCAACAUGCCAGACUGUAACGACUGCGUGCCGGCACCGUGCCAGGUUAUCAAGGAGGACGUUGACAAAUGUGUCAGAGAGAAGGGAGAGGAGGGCUGUAAAGAUCUGAUAGAUGCCUUCCAGGCCUGUAUAAAAACUCUGUCUGAGGGAUCAUAAUACAUAAUGAAACACAACUUUAAAAAAAUUCACGCCUUCCCUUCCCAGCCCUUCACUCUCCCAUCCUCUUCCCUGCUUAUUGCACUGGACUGAACCAUCUGAAACCUGAGGAGGGGGGUGAUGAUACUGCACUUCUGAUGCUAUUCUGUGAAUGUGUAUUUUUCUAUUAUAAAUGUUACACUUCUGUUAUGGACUGAACUAGAACACUAUCAUUUUGUGAUUUUGCACAACAUACAAUA